rnacentral:lncRNA from 1 species
UCUCAAUCCCUCAAAUGUGCAGUGGGGGGAUGGAGAGAUAAGGCAGAGGAUCUCUGGGGAUCAUUCUUGCUUUAAUGAUCUAUGACAAAAUUUUCCCAGUGUACUGCACAGCCAGAAAGAGCCAAGGCUGAGAGCUAUUUCUCCCCAGAAAUGUGAUUCCACAGUCUUGGUUUCCUGGAACAACUGAAGAGUGUGGUAAUAGAAUCCAUGAAGAGAAACUUUAUGUGGCUAAUAUUCCAAAGCUUUCUAAGUGCAGUAAUAAACAGAGCACAUCUUGGUGACACAGAAAUUAUGAGGCAGAGACCAUAAUAAUAAUUCAUGUCUGCUUCUAUUCACUAUUGACAAGAUGUGCUUCCACUCCCAAGACACCAGAGCAGCAGAAAAAUAAGUAAUUCCCUGAGUUGCCACCACACUAUUUUGCUUUAUGCUAGUUUUUCUUCCUUUCUUUUCUGUCACCCACAAAAGUGAAACCCAGUCAUCUACAGAAGCUGCCUUUUGUCUAGGAGUAAGUGGUGGUUAUUAUCUGCAUCAUAUGAAGCUAGGCAUCAUGGUUUCCAUGCUGGAAAGCAAAGCUCCCCUAUGUUAGGCAUCUUUGGUUUACAAUAACAUACACUCAAUAACUGAGAAGAAAUUUUGAAUAGAUCACACUUGCAAAAUAUUUCCCAGACUGAAAAUUUCACGGAGACUGGUGAUCACGUAGGCCAAGUGUACUUUAUUUCCCCCGUCUCUCCAUUCCUCAGCCCCUGAAAUAAUUCCUAGGAGAUUUUUAGCUAACUCCGGCUGAGUCCACCAACAGAUGUGAAACUUAUUACCUUACUGUUUUGUGGCCCUUCCUAUUCUAUUUUCUUGCAACAGCUCCAAUUAUUAAAGUGAAAUACGACAUCUUAGCCCUUUUGGAGCAAGGCAGGAAGCAUUUAUUCUUUGAUUGUGUAACUGUUCUUCAAGAAUGUGUAAUGAGCCUCACACCUCUUCUAAGUCUUCUUUUUUCCAUGUUAAACAUUCACAAUUUCUUCCCCAUUCCUGGUUGGUAUAGGUCUCAGAUCUUGCUCUCAUAUUGUUUAGGCUUCCAAAGUGGUGCCACUUGACCAACACAAACUUGGAAAUAAGACAUCCUAAGCUUGAAACAACACAUCCAAUGUGGUCUAUCUUAGAGAAAAUGAUUGAAAUUGUCACCUGCCUUAAUCGGUACAUUUCAACUCUAUUACAAUAAUUUUGCCUAAGAAUGUUUUGAUUUUUCCAGCAACUGUGGCACACACUUGGUUUAUGUUUAGUCCUGUGAUCAACAUAUGAGCUUUGCUCUUCCUCCAAGGCACAAGCAGGAAUGUAGUGAGUAGCAAAGUGCUCUUGGUCACUCAAAUGUAUUGACAAAACAGGACCUCUUUAUGAAAUUAUAAAGUCAUCCCAGAUUGUAUUUUGGACAUUUCUUUUAUUUCUCAUGUUCUCAUACUUUCUGUAGUCUCCUCUGCCCCCAACAUACAUGCCUGACUUCUACUCAAAAGUAGUUCUACUCUGCUGUAGUAGUUCAGAGCCUGGCUUGUAAAGGCAGCCUGCUCAGGGUCAUAUUCCAGCUCUGACAUUUGCCUGCCCUGUAGGUUUCAGAAACUCAAUGUCUUUUGCUUGUUUAAGAUUUUUUACGUUAUGUAUAAAGUAAUAAUACUAUCUCCCUCAUUAUGUUGUUAUGAGAAUUUAAUGAUUUCAUAUAUCUUAGGCACUUAGGACAGUGCCUGGCACAUACUGAGUGCUAGCUGAUACAAUAAGCCUAGCAUGGUAUUUGGGACAAUCAGGUCUGAGGCUCGGGGUACCAGGGAUAUAGUCAUUACCCAGGUCCAGUAAUAUAUGUCACUUCUUUUUUUUCAGACCUUCAAUUUCUUUAGCUAUAAAAUAGGGAAAUCAAACAGUAAGAAAUAACAACAAUUCUUUCCAGCUCUGUCAUUUUUAAAACUGUAAUUGUCUGCAAGUCUUUGAUCUUCCAGCUCCUGACAUGGGUGGAGCAAGCAUCCCCAGCUUGGAUAAUAGGGGGAACAAGCUGAUGAUAUGACUCUUUUUGUAGACAUUGCUACUAGUGUUCAAACAAAUAAAGAUGUAAAGGCAAAAUGUUUCAUAAUUCUGGCAGGCAAAUUUGGAAAGACUUCUGAGGUCAGCGCCGCCUUAUCAGAGCCCCUUACAUCACACUACAUAGAGAGGCUGCCCACUCCCCAAAUUGCUACAAUUGGUAAUGUGGUAGAAGUAUUAAGAAAAGCCUGGGCAGUCAGAGAUGAGAGAUCAUGUCAUUUUGAGGGCUGAUAUAAAGAAAGGAAUCCAUUUUUCAUGGAAAUGCUUGGCUUUGCAUGAGCCUUUGAAAACCCACACAGUAAAUGCAGUGGAAAAGGCAAUGCACCACAGCAUAAGGCCAGAGGUCUGGGGAUACCUCAACUACAAAACCAACACAGCACUUAAUUGUAGCCAUAUGUCUGAAUCAGCCAGAAAUGCAACUUCUUCAUCAGUCCAAUGGGAUACUAAUGCUCUCGCUUGACUUUCUCACAGAACUGCAAGAGAUCAUGAACGUAAAGGCAUUUUGAAAGUUCAUUUCAACUGCAAUAUGGUAGUGACAGUAAGGUUCCUGACCUUCCAAGGCCAGAAUCUGUGUCCUGUAACCUCCACCACAAUUUAGUUCCUGAAACUACACACAAAAACACAGCCACUCUAGAAGAUGAAAGUGCAAAAUUACUUUCUUCCCCUACUCAAUGCCAUUAAAUGGCUUCCUUGACAUCUACAGCUCUUUGCAGUAAUGUUCACUAUGACUAAAUGUGUGGCUAAUAAUACCUUUUAUGAUCUGACCAUUUUAUCGCCUUAGCCUCAUUUUUCUCAUGCUUUGCUUUUAAGAUUUCAUGUCUUUGCUAUUGUGAAUAGUGCUGCAACAAACCUGCACAUGUACCCUUGAACUUAAAAUAAAAGUUAAAAAAAAAAUGUUCC